GCGAUUCUGUACACUUCCUUGUCGUCGUGUGCCCUGACUUCCUGCUACAAGGGCAGCUGCUACAGAGUAGGAGUGAUAAUCUUCAAGACAGGAGUGACAGGGAGAAGGUCCUCAUGCAAAGACUCAGCCAGGACCAAUAGUGACAACCAUAACGCCCAGCGUUUGACAAGUAAGCCUGCGGUCCUCCCCCUUGCGGAUUAUGGAACUGGCUCUGUUCCCAUGUCACCCUCCACUCCUCCCUCUCUCCUUUUCUGCUGGAUUCCCUCCACCUGAGCAGGACAGCAUCCUAGAGCGAGACUCCCCAACUCCACCGCUGCUGUGGCUCCUCUGGACACCGGCUAGCUAGCUGUCACGCUUCCCCUGGACAUUCUGACCAGGACAAGCAGCCUGGGUUUUCUAACAGGGGUACCAGGUUAUUCUGAUCUUCUGGGAAGGUUAUAAAACACUGAGACGCUGUACAAGGACGUCGAAAAUAAUUUGCCCAAGUUUCUCAGCUUGCAGAUAUGAUUUUUUUCUGAGAUUUUUAACACCUUGUCUUAGACAUUUGAUCAUUUACUUCACAGUCACUUUAUUCCAGCCCUAGGAUCACCAUGGGGCUAAGUGGAAACUGGACUCAGAGAAGGUUAGUGACUUUCCCCGGAGGAAAUGGUAACACUGAGAUCACACCUAGGCUUUCUGACCCCAAAGCUCUGCCCUUGCCCCUUCGUUAUCCUCCAUUUCUUCAUUCCAGGAGUCCUCAUGGGACAGAGGGGACCUAUCUGCCAGGUAUGUGGCCGGGUGGGAAGGCAGGCCCCGCUGACUAAAGAGGAACCCCGCCCAAGUGGGGCAGGUGGGGGAGGGGAGGCCAAGGUGCCACAGGGUGUUUGACAGGGGGCUGCACAAGAAAUGACAGGGAGGCCUCUAGUUGGGGCCACAGGAGACUGUAGCACUGGGGACCACCCGGGAGACUAGACCUGCACUCCAACAAAACACAUGGCUUGGAAAUUAUUAAAGGUCAAAGAAGAUGAGGGAUCCAGUCUAGAGUAGUGACCCCUGCCCCCAUGGCCAGGUUCAUGGCCUCCGCCCUGAUCCUCUGCAGCAGCAGGGUGUGAGGGUCUGACUCCAGCGCAGCUCUGGAAGCGCUCUACACCCCACAGAGCAAUUAGCACUGAGCCCCCCUGUUAAUGCUCGUCAGGACACAGUAGGAGCCCCAGGAAGGUGGGCAAGAGCAGGUACAGCUCUGAGCUGUACCACUGGACGAGCCACCCGAGUGGCACAGUUAGGCCCUUAACACCCACGCCACCUGCUGGCUCUGUGAGGCCACCCCGCCCAGCCGCCUGCUCUGGCCAGAGUCCUGGCUCCACCUGCUUUCUGGCCUUUCUGGCAUUUAUAUUCUUUUCUCCACCACCUCCCCACACACACACACACACACACACAGAGACACACACACACACACACAGAGACACACACAGAGAGACACACACGCACGUGCACACGCUGUGCCUCUUUUCUCUUUCACUUCUUUCUCUUUACCUUUCUCUCUCUUUUUCUUUCUGUUUCUUUUUCUUUCUUUUUCUCUUCUCCCUCCUUCCUUUCUCUUUUUCUUUUUCUUUCAUUCUUUCUCUUUUUCUUUCCCCUUGUUUCUUUUUCUUUCUCUUUCCUUUUCUCUCUCCUUUCUCUUUUUCUUUCUUUUUCUCCUGGCCUUUCUCUUUCCUUUCUCUUUUCUUUUCUUUCUCUUUCCUUUUCUCCUUUUCUUUCUCUUUUUCUUUCUCUUUUUUUACCUUUCUUUCUCUUUCCCUUUCUGUUUAUUUUUCUUUCUUUUUACCCCUCUUCCUCUCUCUCUCUCUCUCUCUCUCUCUCUCUCUCUCUCUCUCUCUCUCUUCCUCUCUACCUUCCCCCUCACCUUCACAUAUACAUAUCACACCUCAAAGAACCCAGUUCUCUUCUAGUGAGGUUCUCCUUCUUGGGGGGGCGCGGCACUCUUUGGAACACUCAUAACAAAUUCUCGGAAGCUCACUUAACUCCCUUGGACACACACUCCAGCUCUUUUCCCUCACAUAUGUGCAAGCACAUGCACGCACAUCCUCCAUCAGCACAGGCUGAAGUCAGGUACAGGAGCAGUAAUUGUCACUCGCUGAUGUCCUACUUCCUGGUGGCACUUAGGUGGCCUGUCACUGUGACCAGCUCUGGUCAGUGAGGCUGUUUCUCUUCGUUGCAUUGUUAUGGCCCUCAGUGAGCAGCAGGUGUUGCCUGAAUCCACCCAACAACCUUCCCAUUUCACUCCUGCUCCUGCUGCUUUCCCUCCAGAUUCUAUCACUCACCUCCCACCAGCGGGGGAAGCAGGGCCCGUGGCAGUGUCGGUGCAGCAGUGUGGGCUUCACUGAGAAGUGAGGGCAUCUCAUUGCCUGAAUCUGUACAAGUCAAACUCAAGCUUCUCCAAGGCUGGACGGUUCCUAUCUAGCAUCUCUUCUCAAAAAACACCCAGUGUGUCUCUGUUAAAUGGUGAUUUUCAGAAUUCUGGCUCAUGCUCAAAGCUGAAAGGUGGCCACAAAAAGGACCCGGAUCCCGUAGUUCAUCGCCCCUUUCAAUCUAGACAAACUCAAGAGACUUGGAGUAAAGGGUUUCUUUGAAGGAAGUUGUCCCACAGCCUAGGACACCUGCGUGACAUCCUGCUUCCCUCUUCACAUCGGGGGAUGAGGUGUGUUCUUAGUCCAUCUCAGCCCCAGGGGCUGCCUGGGACAGCAGAGUGGAGAGUGACGGCCACCUGAGAGCAAGCUCCAUCUCCUCAGUGGGUGAGGCAAGGGUGCGGGUUCCCCUAUGAGUGGGUGGACUUCUCUACCUGUGGCUAAGCUGGAGUCAUCUUGAAAGGACCCCCUCAGGAGGCCUGCCUGCAGCAGGAAGUCUGGAGGCAUUCCCUCUGAGCAGGAGCCCAGGGCAGUGUUGCUGGUGGCCAGCCAAGGAACGCAUCAUCCGUGCCGGGCUGUGCAGUGUCAGAGAUUCCAGGGCUUGAAGGACUCAGAGAAUCUCCUUGAACAUCUGGACAUCUGCCACACAGACAGCCUCAGGCCCAGUUACGCCAGCAGCUGUCAAAUGAGAUUUCCCCCUUUCUCCUCCUCCCCACCCAUCCCGAGGCAGGAGGCGGAUGGGGAGGAGGGAGCAGGAGCCGGGAGGCCCAGAGAAAGCACAAGGCUGCGUCUCCCUUGCCCAAGGCAGGAAACAGAGCCGGCUGCCCUAAGCUGGGGAUUAGAGGACAAACUUAGCAUUGGGUGAGAAGGUGAAGUUUUAAUUUAAAUCAAAUUGAACUUUUUAAUACUCAAAAAAUGAGUCUGUUAUGAUACUUAAAAUUACCAGAAAAGCUACUAUUUCUGCUUGAGAUAUUAUCUAGGAAUAGACUAGGGGUUUCCAACAGAGACCAUUUGAAGAGCCAUAGUGAGGGGGAAAUAAACUUCUUUUUGGAUUUCUCUCUACCAGGUUCAGUUCAUUUAAUACAUAAGCAGGGUAUAUCCCUAGCUCAGAUGAGCUUAGAUGUCAGGCAUGCUACGAGGAGGGAGGGGGUUGUUCAAUGUGGAUUCUGAGCUGGGAGGAAAAGCCAGAAGUGGGGCCAGGGAGGAGAGGGCUGGCUCAGGACAAGUAAGUGGUACCAGCCCAGCUCCCAAAGUCUGCUUCUCCACAUACCUGUGUCACGAGCCAGCCAUGGGCUGUGUGUGUGAGCUGUGAGCACUGAGCACACGAGGAGACUGGACUUGCUGCUCUGACUGGGCCAUGCCAUGUAUGUGUCCUUUUCACUCACUCUGCCUUUGAUCCCACACAGCACCUGAGAUGGGUGUGACCUUCCAAGAUGUCAGUCAAUCUGCUGACCAGAAGACAUCACCAAGCAACCCCCGGAAGCCCAAUCCCUUGCCUUAUUUGGGCUGAACUUUCUCAAAUGUCUUCCCCUCAAUAAAUAGGAUGGUCUCAGGUGUGCUCUCUCUCUCUUUCCAAUGGACCCUUAAGGUCAAGAGCCAUCCCUGAUUCCUGUAAGCAAUCUGCGUGU
rnacentral:lncRNA from 1 species